rnacentral:rRNA from 1 species
CCUACGGGAGGCAGCAGUGAGGAAUAUUGGUCAAUGGACGAGAGUCUGAACCAGCCAAGUAGCGUGAAGGAUGACUGCCCUAUGGGUUGUAAACUUCUUUUAUAUGGGAAUAAAACGUUCCACGUGUGGGAUUUUGUAUGUACCAUAUGAAUAAGGAUCGGCUAACUCCGUGCCAGCAGCCGCGGUAAUACGGAGGAUCCGAGCGUUAUCCGGAUUUAUUGGGUUUAAAGGGAGCGUAGGUGGAUUGUUAAGUCAGUUGUGAAAGUUUGCGGCUCAACCGUAAAAUUGCAGUGGAAACUGGCAGUCUUGAGUACAGUAGAGGUGGGCGGAAUUCGUGGUGUAGCGGUGAAAUGCGUAGAUAUCACGAAGAACUCCGAUGGCGAAGGCAGUUCACUGGACUGCAACUGACACUGAGGCUCGAAAGUGUGGGUAUCAAACAGGAUUAGAUACCCGAGUAGUC